rnacentral:rRNA from 1 species
GACGAACGCUGGCGGCGUGCCUAAUACAUGCAAGUCGAACGCAGUGGGGACGGGUGGGUAACACGUGGGUAACCUCCCAUCAGAGGGGAUAAAACUUGGAAAAAGGUGCUAAACCGAUACUGAUGGAUGGACCCGCGGUGCAUUAGCUCGUUGGUGAGGUAACGGCUCACCAGGGGCACGAUGCAUAGCCGACCUGAGAGGGUGAUCGGCCACACUGGAACUGAGACACGGCCCGGACUCCAACGGUAGGCAGCAGUAGGGAAUCUUCGCCAAUGGACGAAAGUCUGACCGAGCAACGCCGCGUGAGUGAAGAAGGUUUACGGUUCGUAAACCUCUGUUGUUAGAGAAGCGGUAUCUGACCAGAAAGCCACGGCUAACUACGUGCCAGCAGCCGCGGUAAUUC